AGUAAAUGGUCUCCAGUAAAUUCUACAUGUAAAGUUUAUGCAAAAAUUAACUGUGGCGCUCCAAAGGAAGUUACUGGUGCAUCAAAGUCCUACAAAACCACCACCUAUAAAUCUGAAGUGACCUAUACUUGUCCAGAGGGAGAACAACUAAAGUCAGUAUGUGAAAAAAACAAUGAAUGGACUCCAGUGGCAGAAGCCUGUAAAGUUUCUCAGAUCAAUUUUGUGAAAGUAAAAGAUGCAGCUCUGGAUGUAUCUGGGAAAACAUUGUUAAAGGAGAAAAAUGUAACAGCAG
rnacentral:lncRNA from 1 species